GAGGAAGCAUGGCUUGGCUUUGCUACCACGUUUUUCAUCUCCUUUAGUCCAAUAUACCUAAUUUGUUCCAAAGGCGAUGCGUAAAAAAAGUAGUUUUUUAAAAUAUACUUCCCUAUCUAAAUCUCUUGAAUUCUUGGAGGUGUCAUCAGGUCUUUGGGAUGUACCUGAUGUAUUGUGGUGGCCGCAGAAUCAUUCAAUGACUUGGUUUAAUCCAGGACUUGGUUUUUUUGAAGGUGGUUUACAGUUUUAAUUUUCAGAGAUCCUGGAGGUAUCUGAUGUGUUGCUUUGGUGUUGGAGUUACUCGGUGACAGAAGGGAAUGCCAACAAUGUUAUGUUGUCAGUGUAAAUAAAACAUAUCCAAUAAC